CCUACGGGAGGCAGCAGUGAGGAAUAUUGGUCAAUGGACGAAAGUCUGAACCAGCCAUGCCGCGUGCAGGAUGACGUCUCUAUGAGUUGUAAACUGCUUUUGUACAGGAGUAAACUUGAAUACGUGUAUUCUGCUGUAUGUACUGUACGAAUAAGGAUCGGCUAACUCCGUGCCAGCAGCCGCGGUAAUACGGAGGAUCCAAGCGUUAUCCGGAUUUAUUGGGUUUAAAGGGUGCGUAGGCGGAUGCUUAAGUUAGUGGUGAAAUGUUCGGGCUUAACGGUGAAAUUGCAGUUGAUACUGGGUAUCUAGAGAGUAGAUGCGGUAGGCGGAAUGCAUGGUGUAGCGGUGAAAUGCUUAGAUAUCACACAGAACACCGAUUGCGAAGGCAGCUUAC
rnacentral:rRNA from 1 species